rnacentral:rRNA from 1 species
CAGCCGCCGCGGGAAUACGAAGGGGGCUAGCGUUGUUCGGAUUUACUGGGCGUAAAGCGCACGUAGGCGGAUCGAUCAGUCAGGGGUGAAAUCCCAGAGCUCAACUCUGGAACUGUCUUUGAUACUGUCGAUCUGGAGUAUGGAAGAGGUGAGUGGAAUUCCGAGUGUAGCGGUGAAAUGCGUAGAUAUCGGAAGGAACACCUGUGGCGAAAGCGGCUCACUGGACAAUAACUGACGCUGAUGCACGAAAGCUAGGGGAGCAAGCAGGAUUAGAUACCCGUGUAGUCCCUGUCUCUUAUAC